rnacentral:siRNA from 1 species
UGACAAAACCGUGAAGAACAUGAG